CACUACAACAAAAGGAGGAUUAGCCGACGAUGUAUUUGGCUAAUCAGCGGCGCUAAUUAAAACGGGGCGUUAGUUUGCGAUUGGGUAUAAAUACCGUACGAAAAGCCCUAAGCCUCUUUUGCUUCUUUUGCUCCCCUCUCCCAACGCUCUCUCUCUCUCUCUCUCUCUCUCUCUCUCUCUCUCUCUCUCUCUCUCUCUCUCUCUCUCUGUGUCUUUUACAGACCAGAUCUAAUUGUACUUUAAUGCAUCAGAUCCCUUGAGCAAGCUGUAGGAAAGAGCUUGGAUCAUCCCAGCUUUUUGGAACAUCCUUGCAUACUUAUUACUUGCUGUAAUAUGUAUCCUUUAGGCCCCAUUGCAUAACCCAACUAGGUAAUUUCUGGAAUCUUUUGCUUUUCCUUUUCCCUUGUCUACUAAUUGUUGAAAAUUUCAAUGUUGUUGUUGUUGCAAAUUAGGGUUUACUCCUGUGUUGUACAAUGUAUCCUGCAUCGUAAGCCAUCAGUUCAAAGCCACCACUUUCUGAGAAGGGCAAUCUUCAUCUGAUUGAUUUGCACACAACACAACUAAGUAAUAUUUAUGUCAGUGAUCCUGAUCAUUCGACUGAAAUUUUUUUCUGGAGAGAUUCAAGCCUAUUAGUUACAUUCUAGGACAUCUGAAAAUGGACAUCCUAUGGAUUGAGAUAUAACCAAAGCCACCUUAAUGAUCGUAAACUGGCCUCCUAAGAUAACAAGUGACAUUUCAAGUCUCUAGACCAUUCAUCCCAAAUCACAUUAGGAGUUUUUUCCAUUACACAAUGGAGCCCAAUAUGAAGAAUUGGGAAGGGAGUCAAUUAGCUCAGGAUUGCUGCUGUCUCCUUGAUUUGGCUAACUUCUAAAUCAACCCCAUUAUGACAUUGAGAUGGUUCUUUCUUAGUUUUAUUUUUAAUUUUUAUUUAUUUACUUCUUUGGGGUACCAAGUUCCUGCUAAUUUAGGUGGAAUUGAAACCUGGAAAACAGAACCUAUGCUCACUGUGAUCUCCCUUCCAUGGGGAGGGUGACCAAAAUUGACAAUGGAGUGGUAGUCGCCCUCGCCCAAGUUAUUUUCAUUUGGAUUAUGCCCAUCUUCCUUGAGGUUUUUACAUGUCACUUCACAGGGUUUGACUGCCUUGACUCUACUUUCUUCCUUUUGCUACCUUGGGGUCAUGGGCAUAUUAAUAUCUCAAUAUUUUAUGAAGUCCUAAUACAGUGGGCCCUUCUCCACUCUAGAUCUUUCAAAAGGUGGUUCUUACCUGAUAUUGUACUUGGUCCCUCUAAACUUCUUGUGACCAUACUUUGAAUCUAUACUCGUACGGGUUUGAUUGAAGGAAACAGAACAGAGGCCUUAUAUGUUAUGAAAUGUAAGUAAUGUUUGACAUGUGAAACAUCUUAUUUUUCCAACUAUGUUUCUAAAUUCUUUGAAUCUCUUUUGCUCUUAUGCUUAUCUUUCUCCUUCAGCAAAUAUUUAUUCAUCAAUAAUUAGUAUAGUUGAUAUGGUUUGAUGUUAAUUUCAAACUUUACGAGGUGACUAGUUGGCAACUCUGAUCUUUGAGUUGGUGGGUGUAAGAAAAAUAACUUCU